rnacentral:rRNA from 1 species
UACGUAGGGUGCAAGCGUUAAUCGGAAUUACUGGCGUAAAGCGUGCGCAGGCGGUUUUGUAAGACAGAUUGGAAAUCCCCAGGCUUAACCUGGGAACUGGGUCGGAUACUGGUUGGCUUGAAUCCGGGAGAGGGAUGCGGAAUUCCAGGUGUAGCGGUGAAAUGCGUAGAUAUCUGGAGGAACACCGGUGGCGAAGGCGGCAUCCUGGACCGGCAUAGACACUGAAAAGCGAAAGCCAGGGGAGCAAACGGG